AGAGUUUGAUCAUGGCUCAGAUUGAACGCUGGCGGCAGGCCUAACACAUGCAAGUCGAGCGGUAGCACAGAGAGCUUGCUCUCGGGUGACGAGCGGCGGACGGGUGAGUAAUGUCUGGGAAACUGCCUGAUGGAGGGGGAUAACUACUGGAAACGGUAGCUAAUACCGCAUAACGUCGCAAGACCAAAGUGGGGGACCUUCGGGCCUCAUGCCAUCAGAUGUGCCCAGAUGGGAUUAGCUAGUAGGUGGGGUAACGGCUCACCUAGGCGACGAUCCCUAGCUGGUCUGAGAGGAUGACCAGCCACACUGGAACUGAGACACGGUCCAGACUCCUACGGGAGGCAGCAGUGGGGAAUAUUGCACAAUGGGCGCAAGCCUGAUGCAGCCAUGCCGCGUGUGUGAAGAAGGCCUUCGGGUUGUAAAGCACUUUCAGCGGGGAGGAAGGCGUUAAGGUUAAUAACCUUGGCGAUUGACGUUACCCGCAGAAGAAGCACCGGCUAACUCCGUGCCAGCAGCCGCGGUAAUACGGAGGGUGCAAGCGUUAAUCGGAAUUACUGGGCGUAAAGCGCACGCAGGCGGUCUGUCAAGUCGGAUGUGAAAUCCCCGGGCUCAACCUGGGAACUGCAUUCGAAACUGGCAGGCUAGAGUCUUGUAGAGGGGGGUAGAAUUCCAGGUGUAGCGGUGAAAUGCGUAGAGAUCUGGAGGAAUACCGGUGGCGAAGGCGGCCCCCUGGACAAAGACUGACGCUCAGGUGCGAAAGCGUGGGGAGCAAACAGGAUUAGAUACCCUGGUAGUCCACGCCGUAAACGAUGUCGAUUUGGAGGUUGUGCCCUUGAGGCGUGGCUUCCGGAGCUAACGCGUUAAAUCGACCGCCUGGGGAGUACGGCCGCAAGGUUAAAACUCAAAUGAAUUGACGGGGGCCCGCACAAGCGGUGGAGCAUGUGGUUUAAUUCGAUGCAACGCGAAGAACCUUACCUGGUCUUGACAUCCACAGAACUUAGCAGAGAUGCUUUGGUGCCUUCGGGAACUGUGAGACAGGUGCUGCAUGGCUGUCGUCAGCUCGUGUUGUGAAAUGUUGGGUUAAGUCCCGCAACGAGCGCAACCCUUAUCCUUUGUUGCCAGCGGUCCGGCCGGGAACUCAAAGGAGACUGCCAGUGAUAAACUGGAGGAAGGUGGGGAUGACGUCAAGUCAUCAUGGCCCUUACGACCAGGGCUACACACGUGCUACAAUGGCAUAUACAAAGAGAAGCGACCUCGCGAGAGCAAGCGGACCUCAUAAAGUAUGUCGUAGUCCGGAUUGGAGUCUGCAACUCGACUCCAUGAAGUCGGAAUCGCUAGUAAUCGUAGAUCAGAAUGCUACGGUGAAUACGUUCCCGGGCCUUGUACACACCGCCCGUCACACCAUGGGAGUGGGUUGCAAAAGAAGUAGGUAGCUUAACCUUCGGGAGGGCGCUUACC
rnacentral:rRNA from 1 species